rnacentral:rRNA from 1 species
GAUGAACGCUGACAGAAUGCUUAACACAUGCAAGUCGAUGGGGAAGUGGUGCUUGCACCAUGGUAACCAUGGCGAACGGGUGAGUAACGCGUAAGGAACUUACCUGCGGGACCGGGAUAACAGCAGGAAACUGCUGACAAGACCGGAUAAGGUCAUUAAGCUGCAUAGCUUAGUGAUGAAAGGAGACGCCUGCGGAGAGCCUUGCGUCCUAUUAGCUAGUUGGAGGGGUAACGGCCCACCAAGGCGAAGAUAGGUAGCCGGCCUGAGAGGGUGGACGGCCACAAGGGGACUGAGAUACGGCCCUUACUCCUACGGGAGGCAGCAGUGGGGAAUAUUGGACAAUGGGGGCAACCCUGAUCCAGCAAUUCUGUGUGCACGAAGACGGUUUUCGGAUUGUAAAGUGCUUUCAGCAGGGAAGAAGGAAGUGACGGUACCUGCAGAAGAAGCGACGGCUAAAUACGUG